UACGAGGGGGGCAAGCGUUGUUCGGAUUUACUGGGCGUAAAGGGCGCGUAGGCGGCAAAUUAAGUCAGCUGUGAAAUCUCCGAGCUUAACUCGGAACUGUCAGCUGAUACUGAUCUGCUAGAGUGCGGAAGGGGCAAUCGGAAUUCUUGGUGUAGCGGUGAAAUGCGUAGAUAUCAAGAGGAACACCUGAGGUGAAGACGGGUUGCUGGGCCGACACUGACGCUGAGUGCGCGAAAGCCAGGGGAGCAAACGGG
rnacentral:rRNA from 1 species